rnacentral:rRNA from 1 species
AUUGAACGCUGGCGGCAGGCCUAACACAUGCGAGUCGAGCGGAUGAAGGGAGCUUGCUCCUGGAUUCAGCGGCGGACGGGUGAGUAAUGCCUAGGAAUCUGCCUGGUAGUGGGGGAUAACGUCCGUAAACGGGCGCUAAUACCGCAUACGUCCUGAGGGAGAAAGUGGGGGAUCUUCGGACCUCACGCUAUCAGAUGAGCCUAGGUCGGAUUAGCUAGUUGGUGGGGUAAAGGCCUACCAAGGCGACGAUCCGUAACUGGUCUGAGAGGAUGAUCAGUCACACUGGAACUGAGACACGGUCCAGACUCCUACGGGAGGCAGCAGUGGGGAAUAUUGGACAAUGGGCGAAAGCCUGAUCCAGCCAUGCCGCGUGUGUGAAGAAGGUCUUCGGAUUGUAAAGCACUUUAAGUUGGGAGGAAGGGCAGUAAGUUAAUACCUUGCUGUUUUGACGUUACCAACAGAAUAAGCACCGGCUAACUUCGUG